GCCUCGUCUCUUACCCCACGGAUAAGCACGAUGCCACGAGACAUUUCUCACGACCAGCCUCUCGCCAGCAUGCUCAAGGCGAUCGAGGAGCAACUUGAUCGGCUGC
rnacentral:ribozyme from 1 species